GAUGAACGCUGGCGGCGUGCCUAAUACAUGCAAGUCGAGCGAACGGACGAGAAGCUUGCUUCUCUGAUGUUAGCGGCGGACGGGUGAGUAACACGUGGAUAACCUACCUAUAAGACUGGGAUAACUUCGGGAAACCGGAGCUAAUACCGGAUAAUAUUUUGAACCGCAUGGUUCAAAAGUGAAAGACGGUCUUGCUGCCACUUAUAGAUGGAUCCGCGCUGCAUUAGCUAGUUGGUAAGGUAACGGCUUACCAAGGCAACGAUGCAUAGCCGACCUGAGAGGGUGAUCGGCCACACAGGAACUGAGACACGGUCCAGACUCCUACGGGAGGCAGCAGUAGGGAAUCUUCCGCAAUGGGCGAAAGCCUGACGGAGCAACGCCGCGUGAGUGAUGAAGGUCUUCGGAUCGUAAAACUCUGUUAUUAGGGAAGAACAUAUGUGUAAGUAACUGUGCACAUCUUGACGGUACCUAAUCAGAAAGCCACGGCUAGCUACGUG
rnacentral:rRNA from 1 species